AUAGAUCAUCAUACGUGGCAGUAAUACGUGGCAGUAUAAUAUGCUGGAAUAUAAAGUUAAUGGAUUGUUAAUGGCUAUGGCAUGUACACUGCUUCUGUUAGCGUUUGUAGCUGGAGCAUCAUCACUGGAGAUGUAUCUGAAGACGCAACACAUCAGCGAUGGCAUUGAUGUUCAUAUCACAUGUAUAGCAAUCCUCCAUCAUGAAUUAAAGUUAACCACAAGUAAGGAGACUGUUAUGAUAGGGAGAUGUUCGGAUGAGUGUUAUUUGUAUAAAGAAUCUCUUAAAAGUAGAUUCAGUAUUGUGAAAAGCGAACAAGGCACGGAAUUGACAAUAUGGAAUAUCACGGAAACCAGUUACGGAACGUAUUCAUGCUUUGAAACAUUUGAUUUAUCACAAUAUAAAAGCGUUCUCGUAACAAGAAACACCAAAGGCAGUACCGGGACAGCGUUUUCAUACUACAACACUGCUUGGUUGCAACUGAUUAUUUUUCUGUGCAUCAAUUUAUUGGACGUUAUAUUAGUUGUUGCUUAGCUCCAACGUCAUUGUUAAUAUCAGAUACAAUUUGGAGACAGCUAUUGUUAAAAAAUAUUGACAUUAUUUUUAAAUCAUGCGUUUUACUUUCAUCUCGUUUUCAUAUUUAUGCCCCCGAAGGAGGGCAUAUAGUGAUCGCACUGUCCGUCCGUU